rnacentral:rRNA from 1 species
GUCGAGCGGACCGACGGGAGCUUGCUCCCUUAGGUUAGCGGCGGACGGGUGAGUAACACGUGGGUAACCUGCCUGUAAGACUGGGAUAACUCCGGGAAACCGGGGCUAAUACCGGAUGCUUGAUUGAACCGCAUGGUUCAAUUAUAAAAGGUGGCUUUUAGCUACCACUUACAGAUGGACCCGCGGCGCAUUAGCUAGUUGGUGAGGUAACGGCUCACCAAGGCAACGAUGCGUAGCCGACCUGAGAGGGUGAUCGGCCACACUGGGACUGAGACACGGCCCAGACUCCUACGGGAGGCAGCAGUAGGGAAUCUUCCGCAAUGGACGAAAGUCUGACGGAGCAACGCCGCGUGAGUGAUGAAGGUUUUCGGAUCGUAAAACUCUGUUGUUAGGGAAGAACAAGUACCGUUCGAAUAGGGCGGUACCUUGACGGUACCUAACCAGAAAGCCACGGCUAACUACGUGCCAGCAGCCGCGGUAAUACGUAGGUGGCAAGCGUUGUCCGGAAUUAUUGGGCGUAAAGCGCGCGCAGGCGGUUUCUUAAGUCUGAUGUGAAAGCCCCCGGCUCAACCGGGGAGGGUCAUUGGAAACUGGGGAACU